GCAUUUGUUUGCGGGAGCUGAUGACGCUGAGAUAUUGCAAGUUUGACUUCAAUUACCGUUUGAACCUGAUCGGGGUAAUGCCUGCGUGAGGGAACAUCAAAUGAGAACAA
rnacentral:ncRNA from 1 species